GACGAACGCUGGCGGCGUGCUUAACACAUGCAAGUCGAACGGAAAGGCCCUGCUUUUGUGGGGUGCUCGAGUGGCGAACGGGUGAGUAACACGUGAGUAACCUGCCCUUGACUUUGGGAUAACUUCAGGAAACUGGGGCUAAUACCGGAUAGGAGCUCCUGCUGCAUGGUGGGGGUUGGAAAGUUUCGGCGGUUGGGGAUGGACUCGCGGCUUAUCAGCUUGUUGGUGUGGUAGUGGCUUACCAAGGCUUUGACGGGUAGCCGGCCUGAGAGGGUGACCGGCCACAUGGGGACUGAGAGAGGGCCCAGAAUGCUACGGGAGGCAGCAGGGGGGAGUAUUGCACAAUGGGCGGAAGCGUGAUGCAGAAACGCCGCGUGCGGGAUGACGGCCUUCGGGUUGUAAACCGCUUUCGCCGGUGACGAAGCGUGAGUGACGGUAAUGGGUAAAGAAGCACCGGCUAACUACGUG
rnacentral:rRNA from 1 species